rnacentral:rRNA from 1 species
UACCAGACUCCUACGGGAGGCAGCAGUGAGGAAUAUUGGUCAAUGGGCUUACGCCUGAACCAGCCAAGUCGCGUGAGGGAAGACUGCCCUAUGGGUUGUAAACCUCUUUUGUCAGGGAGCAACGCCGGCUACGUGUAGCCGGACUGAGAGUACCUGAAGAAAAAGCAUCGGCUAACUCCGUGCCAGCAGCCGCGGUAAUACGUAGGUGGCAAGCGUUAUCCGGAUUUACUGGGUGUAAAGGGCGUGUAGGCGGGGACGCAAGUCAGAUGUGAAAACCACGGGCUCAACCUGUGGCCUGCAUUUGAAACUGUGUUUCUUGAGUACUGGAGAGGCAGACGGAAUUCCUAGUGUAGCGGUGAAAUGCGUAGAUAUUAGGAGGAACCCCAGUGGCGAAGGCGGCUUGCUGGACAGAGACUGACGUUGAGGCUCGAAAGCGUGGGGAGCAAACAGGAUUAGAUACCCGCGUAA